rnacentral:RNase_P_RNA from 1 species
ACCAUCGGGUAAUCGAGCAGGAAACUGUUAGGAAAGUCCAUGCUAGCACAGGCUGAGAUGCUUGUAGUGAUUGCGCUAAACAAACCAAUAAGUUUAGGCACCCUUAAAAGGUGACGGCGAAGAAAUGGAUGUUAAAGGCCAAAGUAUUCAUAAAGUGCCACAGAGACGACUCAUAUAAAAUAUAUAUGAAUGAAACGAGGUAAACCCCACAAGCUAGAAACCCAAAUUUUGGUAGGGGAACGGUUGAUGGAUAAAUGAAUCUAAUCGACUGACGGGAAACCGGAGAUAAAUGAUUGCCACGUAUUUAUACGGACAGAACAUGGCUUAUAGAU